UCUAAACCCAGUAGUCGCGACGGGAUUUUCGGCCGUCGCGACUGGAUCUGGCAGUGAGAAAUUCUGUUUUUCUCAAUUUUGUUUUGGCCAUAACUUUUGACUCGGGACUCCGUUUGGGACGUUCUUUAUACCGUUGGAAAGCUCUUUUUGAGCUCUAUGUGAUUAUCUGUAUUUGAAAUGCCAUGAAUUUAUUUUAUGAAUAUGAAAUCAGGGGUUAACCCUAUUUGUGAAAAUCCCGGAUUGUGUGUGACUAGGAUUACCGGCACCUGGUCAGGAGCACCCGGGGAUUUGGAAUCUCUACUAUUGCGGGACAACAGGAAAGGGUAAGGCAUUAGCUGAUCAGCCAUGAGUUUCAGGAGCAGGGCGAAGAAUGUACAUGUUCAUGCCACUUCAGACCAAGCGGGUUAUGGGUCUAACAGUGUUGACUUUUGUAUUCUGUUUUGCCGCUUAGGUCGGCUAGUAAGAAAGAACUUGUAAUAAUUUUGUAAAUAUUUUUGGGAUCCCAACUAUGUUUGAAAAAGUUUAAAUAUAUUACAAGUUUAUUUUCA